rnacentral:misc_RNA from 1 species
AACUGAAGUUUUCCAGUCUAUGGAAUACCAUAUUUGCAAGAAAAUAGCAAAAGUGGUCAUUGAAAAACUCAAAGAUGGAUCACCAACAUCAAGUCAACAAAACGGAUUUCAGGUAAAGAUUGAGAGAGGAAUAUGUGAAACCAAUCACAUCAAAGAAGAGCCACAACCAAACUCCAAUCAGAUGGCGACAGUUACUGUUAAAAAGGAGGAGGAGGAGGAGGAGGAUGAUGAUAGCAGCCAUCAACCAGCUGCAGUGGAAGAUGAUUGCAGCCAACAACAUUAUCUAAUCCCUGGCUACAACAUGAUUUUCAUUAAAGAGGAGGCAUAUGAUGAGCAGGAUGCUGAAGAGAAUUCAGUAAAGACCGAACCAGAGAUGUGGCCUUCAAACUGCAGCACAUCUGGCCGAGACUAUACAACAGAAAGUCAAACUGCAGUUUUCCAGUCUAUGGAAUACCAUAUUUGCAAGAAAAUAGCAAAAGUGGUCAUUGAAAGACUCAAAGAUGGAUCACCAACAUCAAGUCAACAAAACAGAUUUCAGGUAAAGAUUGAGAGAGGAAUAUGUGAAACCAAUCACAUCAAAGAAGAGCCACAACCAAACUCCAAUCAGAUGGAAUCAGUUUCUGUUAAAAUGGAGGAGGAGGAGGAUGAUAGCAGCCAGCAACCAGCUGCAGUGGAAGAUGAUUGCAGCCAACAACAUUAUCUAAUCCCUGGCUACAACAUGAUUUUCAUAAAAGAGGAGUCAUAUGAUGAGCAGGAUGCUGAAGAGAAUUCAGUAAAGACCGAACCAGAGAUGUGGCAUUCAAACUGCAGCACAUCUGGCCGAGACUGUGCAACAGAAGUGGGUGGACUGAAUGAGCAUUCAAUCUCUCCAUCUCCAGUGGAACAGUGCACUGAGUCAUCUGUGACUGGCAAAAAUACCAAGCUCUACAGCUGUGCUCACUGUAGCUAUAAAACACCAAGGUUUGGUGAUUUGAAGAGACACAUUAGGAAACACACUGAGAAAAAACCAUUCAGCUGCGAAUUUUGUGAUUUCAGAACAGCUCAUUCGUGUAAUUUGAAAACUCAUAUCAGAACACAUACAGGAGAAACUCCCUUCAGCUGCAAUUUUUGUGACUAUAAAUGUGCCCUGUUAGGUAAUUUGAAAAAACAUAUCAGAACACAUAAAGGAGAAACUCCCUUCAGCUGCAAAUUUUGUUAAUAUAAAUGUGCCCAGCUAGGUGUUUUGAAAGCACAUAUCAGAACACAUACAGGAGAAACUCCUUUUAGCUGCAAAUUUUGUGAUUUCAAAACUGCUCGUUUAAGUACUUUGAAAACUCAUAUCAGAACACAUACAGGAGAAACUCCCUUCAGCUGCAAAUUUUGUGAAUAUAAAUGUGCCCAGUUAGGUACUUUGAAAACUCAUAUCAGAACACAUACAGGAGAGACUCCCUUCAGCUGCAAAUUUUGUGACUAUAAAUGUGCCCAGUUAGGUAAUUUGAAAAAACAUAUCAGAACACAUACAGGAGAAACUCCCUUCAGCUGCAAAUUUUGUGAAUAUAAAUGUGCCCAGUUAGGUACUUUGAAAGCACAUAUCAGAACACAUACAGGAGAAAAACCUUUCAGCUGCGAAUUUUGUGAUUUCAAAACUGCUCGUUCAAGUACUUUGAAAACUCAUAUCAGAACACAUACAGGAGAAACUCCUUUCAACUGCAAAUUUUGAGACUAUAAAUGUGCCCAGUUAGGUAAUUUGAUAAACAUAUCAGAACACAUACAGGAGAAACAACUUCUAGCUAAGCAUUCUGUGAACACAUGUACGCAUUCUCAUUGCUUUCUUGUUCCAUUUCAUCUUCAUUUACUAUUCAUCAUAUUCAUUUCCCAUAAUCUGCUUAUUCUAUUUUUGUGAAUGUUACAUCUAAUUCCAU